rnacentral:rRNA from 1 species
AUUGAACGCUGGCGGCAUGCUUUACACAUGCAAGUCGAACGGCAGCGCGGGCUUCGGCCUGGCGGCGAGUGGCGAACGGGUGAGUAAUACAUCGGAACGUGCCCAGUAGUGGGGGAUAGCUCGGCGAAAGCCGGAUUAAUACCGCAUACGACCUGAGGGUGAAAGCGGGGGAUCUUCGGACCUCGCGCUAUUGGAGCGGCCGAUGGCAGAUUAGCUAGUUGGUGGGGUAAAGGCCUACCAAGGCGACGAUCUGUAGCUGGUCUGAGAGGACGAUCAGCCACACUGGGACUGAGACACGGCCCAGACUCCUACGGGAGGCAGCAGUGGGGAAUUUUGGACAAUGGGCGAAAGCCUGAUCCAGCAAUGCCGCGUGUGUGAUGAAGGCCUUCGGGUUGUAAAGCACUUUUGGCGGGAACGAAAAGGACUGUGCCAAUACCACGGUUCGAUGACGGUACCCGCAGAAUAAGCACCGGCUAACUACGUG